UGGCCAUAUCACGUUGAAACACCGGUGCCUUUAUGAGCACCGAAGUUAACCAACGUCGAGCUUCGUCAGAACUUAGAUAGGUGACCGUUUAGGAAUAUCAGGUGCUGCAAG